rnacentral:misc_RNA from 1 species
GAGAAGAACGUAGCGAAAUGCGAUAAGUAAUGUGAAUUGCAGAAUUCAGUGAAUCAUCGAAUCUUUGAACGCACAUUGCGCCCGCUAGUAUUCUGGCGGGCAUGCCUGUCCGAGCGUCAUUUCAACCCUCAAGCCCCCGGGCUCGGUGUUGGGGAUCGGCGAGCCUCCGCGCCCGCCGUCCCCUAAAUCUAGUGGCGGUCUCGCUGUAGCUUCCUCUGCGUAGUAGCACACCUCGCACUGGGAAACAGCGCGGCCACGCCGUUAAACCCCCAACUUCUGAACGUUUGACCUCGGAUCAGGUAGGAAUACCCGCUGAACUUAAGCAUAUCAAUAAGCGGAGGA